ACAUUGGACGAAAAGCCAGAUUCUGCUAUUUCUCACGCUAUCUCCCACUCGCGGCGCCGGCGACUACACCAUUGAAACCCACAGGCCACACAGCGCAGGAACAAAAAACGGCGGCGCGAUAAGAAGGGCGCCGCUGUUGGCGCCGGGCCGGCCCGCUCCCGAGCGGUGUCCUUCUUCAGGUCCGCCCUCCGGAGCAACCCCUCUCACUUCCCCGCCGCGCCGCGUCGGACUGCGGACCCCUUGGGCUUGCGACGGUGCUGCUCAGCUGCUGCUGCUGGGGUCGGGGCUCGUGCUCGGGCGACGCGGGAUUUGAGUCGCCAUUAUUGGAUUUUUCUUCCAUUGAUUGCGAACAUUUUGUUCUGGCUGCCCUUCACUUGUCUUUCUGCUGGAUCUGGACCUGCUACCUGGGUCAAUAUUAUUGAGAAUUUGAGACUAAUAUGGCAAGUCAGUAUCAUCUCAUAUGCACCUACCUAAAUGCCCCUCAAGAAUAAAAAAAACAAGUUUCCAGUGUGGGGCAGUGAUCAAUAACUAUGGCUGACAAAAGCGCCUUGGAGCAAUCAAGGCUGCUAUGGGUACCAAACUGGAAUACUCAUGUCCAUCUCUUGGAGAUCUUUUCAAUUAGCUCUAAUGAUAGUGGCUUUGUCCCUGGAUGGUCAUGCCCUCUUCAUGUGUGAUAACCGGGGCAACUCCACUUAUCAUGUCAGGAGAAGUUGAUGUGGUGAUAAAAGAUGAUGGGGAUAAGGUUAAAUGAUUGGGCAAAGGCGAAGCUGAGCCCCCCUUUCAACACAUACAUGCAAAGAAAAGGGAAUAAGAAACAUGAGUUUAUGUUGUCUCUUCCCUUUUCUGUUGAAUAUGUUGUUGCUGUGUGUUUUCUUGUCUAACCUACAUAUUUUCUAACUCCAUUCCUUUUGUUGCAUUUGUCAAACACCAUGCAUUUACCUUUGGAUUCCAUUUAUCAGUAGGUUGAGAUGUUUCCUAGUUUCUGACAUUGAUUCUGCUAUAAUUGUUUGCAAUAGCCGUGUUUUGCAUGAUGGAUACUUUCUGAUAACUUUGUUCAUCCCAGAAUUUAUUGCAGAAUUUCAUGAGUUAUGUCUCACUACUGUUGGAACUGGGUAGUUUGGAAAUAAGAGGGCAUUGUGUUUUCCCAAUUACUUCUUCUGGUCCAUCAUAACUAUUACAGCUGUGCAGGGUGCAACAUUGGUCCGUUUUGGUAGUUCCUAUGCAUCCCUUUGUUCUUCAGAUAUUUUUUGUCGCUUGUCUGAUGGUCUUCCUUUCUUGUUUGGAACUGUUCUUCAGUGGCUGUGACGAUCAAAUGCCCCAGCUCCAUAAAGCUAUUACGUUUUAGCAUUCUGGAUUCUUACCUUUGGUAUUUUGCUCAAUAUGCUGCUAAACUAGGAUGGCUUGUACCAUGUACAAGCAACCGGUUUGCAACUAGUUGUUGUCAUUGCUAUGGUGGUGGUGUAGUAUAUAUCCAACUGAACAAUCCUACUCAAAAAGUUCAUUUAGAAAGGGAUGGAGGGAGUACACGUUUCUUCUGCAAGUAUUGUGUUGAUACUGGGGCACAUCUGAGCCAUCCAACAUGACAUUACUCUUUUUGUUCUGUCAUAUACUUUUGUUUACGAGUCUAUUUCGUCUGUGUAUCCUACCAUUUUCAGUGAUUUCAACUUGGGAUCAGGAUCAUGAUACUGAUGGGGCGAAUUGUCAACAUUGAUUUGAUGUCACAAUAUUCUUGACUUGGGUAAAUUCGGUGCAUAGAUUCCUCGUGUUUUUGGUUUGGAUGCUCAAACUUAGUUGGAUGAAUUGCUCAUUUUGUUCUAAAGAACGAUUUUCUUUUCCACACUCAUUUAACUAGAUUCAAUCGUCCACUAAUACUUAUAAGUGGUUCGCUAAUGUGUCCUUACUUCUGUGGCAUGAGGCAUUAGUGGUCCUAAUCACGUCCCAUGGCCUUGAUGAAUCUUGAUUGAUCAGUCAAACGGAUACACAUGCUACAUCAUAGCCAUGAGCACGACUGUACUUUCUGGUCAUGUGCGUGAAAGCUUCUCUAUGCAUGUGCUAUUCACAUAUGAGCAGACUAUUUCUUUCUGUGUUGUUCACAUGCAUAUCAAUCGAUUUUGCCAAGUGCGGAAACAUUGGGAGUUGGGAUGACAAGUUGUUGGAGAGGGUUUUCUUUCAAUCCUGCCAAAAAAACCAAGAUUGGGAGUGGGUUCUGGGAAAUAUUGGAGAUGCUUUGAUUGGGAUUAGUGGUUGUUCACAUAUCUUCGCUACUGAUGGCUGGAACAUGAAUACUUCUCCUGAUUCGCUGCAUUGGUGAUCUCCUUCCCCUGCAGUUGCCUCUGGAACAUUUAACUUUUUUGCCAUCUUCUCUCCUUCACCCUUGCCUUUUCUCCCCUUCCUCUUCUCUCCGCUUGUGCUCUCUUUCAUGUUGAUCACUGGGUGGCAGCUGCCGCUCUAUGCAGGUGCCUUGGUCUUGUUGGGCCCUUUGCCAGGUCUUAAUCCGGCACUUUGCUGGCGACAGAAUCACUUGCUGCAAAAGCUGAAUCCUUAGAGCUUUUCAGUGUUGAGAGACAACUGAUUAGUUCCAAAGGUAGGAAGUUAAUCUCCAGCUAGGUAACGACUCGUUGAUAGCUAUGAAAGCUAGGUUUUACGGCUUACAGAACCUUGUUAAGCAAGGAAUCAGCACCACAGCUGGGAAUGUUUGUGCCAUUUUCACUUCCAGCUCCUGCUCUAAUCAAGUCAAUUCCAACUUGGACUAUCACACAGAUAGUGCUAGGCGAGUAAUCACUAAUCAGGUAAGUUGACUUGCCAUAGGGGCACACACUUGCCUGUUCAGCCAUCCCUUUUUGUUCGUGGUUUUGCCUAGGAUGGUCACUUGGAUGACAACAAGCACAGUUCCUGUUGGAACUGCGACUUCUGAGGUGGUAUGUGUGGUGAGGGGAAGGUUGAGGCUCAGGACCACGGAGCUUGGGCACCGUGGCUGCUAGCUGGAAGAGUCGAAGGGACGAGGAACUGUUCACGCAGCGUGGCGAACAGUAGUUGUAGGUGAAUAGUGACGCGAAUGAACAGUACCUUGGAUGAACCGUAUGCGGCGAGCAGUAUAUGGGUUUGGGGAAGCACGGGCAAGAUACUUGCCUGCUUACUCUUUCAUUGAUCGAAGGGUACAUUAGCAACCGUCCUUAUCUAAUAUUUUAUCUAACCAAUUUCUUAUCCUUCUAAACAAACUCUGUUUGUUCUCAUACAUCCAAACAAACUCUAUCCCCAGACUACGACUGGCGCUUAUCCAUCUAAACAACUAGCUGAUUUUAUUAGGGCUGUUGUGCUGCCGGUCAUAACAGUUCCACUCACAUUAGGAUGAGUAAAUUGGGCAGCAAGAGAAGGGAGGACCUGGUUUCUAUGAUUGAGCACAGGUGAUGCUAAGCCCUUUUUGUAUGGUUUAUGCUGCGAUGCUUUAUGACUAUGUUUUUUUGUUUCAUACUGCACUUGGGUGGCUAUGAUGGUUCAACUUUCCAUUAACGAGCUUCUGCACUCUACUACCAUCUUAUGAGCUGGACUGGGAUAUUUUAUGAUGUUUGCUGCUUAACUAGGAUGGCCCAUGCCUUACUAGAAGGUGGUUCUAUCUCUGUUUGCUUCUUAACUAGGAUGCCUUGCGCCUCUAGCAGUCACCCAAAAAAAAACAAGUCUACUGCUGGCUGGCUGGAUUGGAUACAUGUAUUGGUCAUGAUGAUUCUCUCGUCAUUACUCUUUAGCACAGAUGCGCUGCAGUGAUGAUCCCCAGAUCCACUGCUGUUGCCUGUGUUGCCAUCUGCUCUGAUGACCCUGUUCACCCCUGCCUUUUCUUCUCGUGUUCACCUUGUCUCCUCUCUCUCUCUCUCUCUGUGUGUGUGUGUGUGUGUUCUGCACCGCAGGAAGGGCAUACCUAGUGGAUGCUCAUUGCCGGAAAAGUGCCUGACAAACCUGGCGAAGGGUCCAACAAAGACCUGGGCACCACGUUGGACAUGGAAAGGGGUCCUAUUCUGUGAAUGGAGUGCUGAACGGCUGAUGAGUGAUGAGGGGCGAUGAUGCUCAACCUUUUCUGGAUUGCAUGGCACUGAACAAUGAAGGCAGCUACGAGUGUCUAAUUAGAGCUAACCCUCUCUCCUCUUGAAGCUUAUUUUAAUCACCCCUUUUUGUUUGUGGUUCUGCCUAGGAUAGUCAUUCAGAGAUGUGACAACCAGCACAGUUCCACUUACAUUGAGAUGACUAAGUUGCGCUGCAAGAGAAAUGUGAAGUCGUUUUGCAUGAUUGAAUAAGGGUGAUGCUGAGCCCUUCUUUUAUAGGUUAUGUUAUCAUGCUUUAUGUUUUAUCCUUUUGUUUUAUACUAACUCUUGAGUGACUAUGAUGGUUCAAAUUUCCAUUAGAGAGCUGUGCACUAAAGGAGAUGUCCUCCAUCUUGAUUUGAGAUCUUCUGAGCUGGUACUGCAGAUACAGUCCAAACAAAAAGCUAUUCUGUCUCCAUUUGUUGUGUAACUAGGAUGGCUUGUACCUCACUAGUCACUACCUCCAUCUCGAAAGGAAUGCAAUUUUGUCUAUGCACCCUGACAAGCAUUCGUUUUGGGGGCAGUGGUAAGUACAAGUAACCAGUUAUGCGGCCAUGGGAGAGACAGAAAGAGAGAGAGAGAGAGAGGUUACAUUGUGCUUCCACUAUAAAUUGCACUUGCUAUGAUGAUAAUGGUUGAAUCUGAGCCACUCAAGUGACCUUUUUCCUCCUAGUACCACUGUCUGAAUACUCCUGCCCCCUUACCCCCAAUUCCCAUGGUGUUUUAAUGAUUGGUUUUGCUGAUGUUGCAGCUAAUGAGACAGCUAAUCUGCUCUUUGAAUUGGUUAAAGCUUUUAUUCUGUUUUGUACUCGUGUGCUCAUAUCUGCUUGUUCUUUUGUGCUACUUUGCAAGUCCUGUUGAUGAUAUGCCCUGAUUUUGGGCUGUUCUUCAUUUGCCUUGCUGCUGGAUUUGAACCUGCGCCCUUGGUUAAUGUUUGUAGGACUGAUAUGCUAAGUUAGUUCCAUGUCAUAAGUUCCUACCUAAGUGCCGCUCAAUAACGAUGAAAUAAAAUUCCAAUGUGAGGCAAUGAUCUGUAUCAUGGUUGACACAAGCACCUUUGAGCAAUCAAGGCUGCUAUGUUGUUAACCUUGCUCUUAGAGGACAUGGAAAUGGACUCGAAUAUGUGAAAUGGACUGCUGACGAAGGGCGAUGAUGCUCAACCUUUUCGGAGUCGCACGCCAUUGAGCAACCAAGGCAGCUGCGUGUCUGGUAGCCUAUUUAAUAAUCCCUUUUUGUUUGUGGUUCUGCCUAGGAUGGUCACCUGGAUGGAUAUAUGACAACCAGGACAGUUCCACUCACAAUAGGAUGAGUAGAUUGGGCAGAAAGAGAAGGGAGGGCCUGAUUUCUAUGAUUGAGCAAAGGAGAUGCUGAGCUGAGCCCCUUUCGUAUGGUUUAUGCAGCGGUGCUUUAUGGCUCUGUUUUUUGUUUCAUACCGCGCUUGAGUGGCUAAGAUUGUUCUGCUUUCCAUUACAGAGCUUCUGCACUCUACCAUCUUCUGAGCUGAUGAUACCUGGGAUAUUCUUUGACGUUUGCUGCUUUACUACGAUGGCCCAUGCCUUACUAGAAGGUGAUUCUAUAUCUGUUUGCUGCUUUAACUAGGAUGCCUUGCACCUUAGAGCAUCUCUAGCAGUCACCAAAAGAAAAGACAGGUUGUGCAUCCUUGACAACAAAUUCACCUCCCCAUGAUAGGGAGUAGCGGUCAUCCGUGUAUCUCUGCGUGUUUUUUCCAA